GAGAGAUGUUAAAGUCUAUAUAUAUAAAAGAGUCUUCAUCCCUUGUUUUUGCAUAAGACUUUGAUAUUGAAAAUUUGAACUUUUAACUUCUUGAGUUUCAAACUUGUUAAGGGUCUUUGAUAGUGCAUGGUGAUUCGUACUUGAGAGAGCGAUAGUUGUAGCAACAAGACAUUUCCUCUCGUUUGUGGCCGCUAUCUAACCUUGUUUCUAUUCAUUCUUGAAGAUUUUUACUCUUUUAAUUAUGAAGUGAUUAAAAAUUAUAUUUUGUUGUUAUGUUAUUAAUUUCUCUCUACACUAGUUUCACUUCAAAUCACGAGCUUAAGAAGUCUAUAAAAGAGAUAAGGUUGGCCACGGGUAAGUAUAAAGAUGAAUUUGGUAUAUUUAUCAUCUCUUUGUUUAGUAGUUGGAUUUUGUUCGUACCCAUUUAUUUGUAUGAAUGGGCAGAAUAUAGAAACCAUUCUCAACCAUCUAUAAAUUUUCAAAUCUACCCAUUUGGUUGGGCAAUACCCGUUUUAUCUUUUAUUAUUGAACAAAACUACAAAUGAAUGGUAUUAUACAACUUUAGUCUUGCUCAAUUUAUAAUUCUAAAAACAUUAAGAUUUAUCCACAAACUAAGAUUUGUCCUAACAACUAAUAUUCAGUGAAUGACACUGAAAUAACAAUUAUUAGUUUACAAACACAAAAAUGUAAGAUAACACUGAAGGCUUCCAAGCUUUGAGUGAAUAAAAACCUUAUUUGGUCACUUAGUUUUUAUAAUUCUCAAACAUUAAAGAUUAUUAAUAAAAUAAUUGGAGGCAAGACAGAGGAGAGGGAGUUUCGAUGCUUUGUACGUGAUCAUCACCUAGUCGGAAUCUCACAACGGGAAGUCACUACAUGCUAUCCUUUGAUCCUUGCAGAGAGAAGAAGUAUAAAAAAUCUGAUUAGGGAAUUCUUCGACAAGAAGGUAAUGUUGCAGUUCGAAUCAGAGAAUUACACAUUUGAUGUCUAUGUCACCAACGACGGCCGUGUUAAGAUUUUGGAUUUUAACCCUUGGGGUGCAUUUACACUGCCACUGCUAUUUACGUGGGAGGAACUCGAGCAAGUUACAGGGGAAGGGCUAGAUGAUGAUGAUGGUGUGGAGUUGAGAGUUGUGGAGACUCGGUGUGGAAUUCGGCCCGGGUUGAAAACAGCAGUUCCACAGGAGUUCCUGGAUGUUGGCCCAGGGAGUGGAUGGGAGCAGGUCUUGAAGAACGCAUUUGAGGAGCAGCAGCAGAACGCACAAGUAUCGGACGAUGUUUGAGAGAUGUUAAAGUCUAUAUAUAUAAAAGAGUCUUCAUCCCUUGUUUUUGCAUAAGACUUUGAUAUUGAAAAUUUGAACUUUUAACUUCUUGAGUUUCAAACUUGUUAAGGGUCUUUGAUAGUGCAUGGUGAUUCGUACUUGAGAGAGCGAUAGUUGUAGCAACAAGACAUUUCCUCUCGUUUGUGGCCGCUAUCUAACCUUGUUUCUAUUCAUUCUUGAAGAUUUUUACUCUUUUAAUUAUGAAGUGAUUAAAAAUUAUAUUUUGUUGUUAUGUUA
rnacentral:lncRNA from 1 species